AGUUGACCUCGGAUCAGGUAGGGAUACCCGCUGAACUUAAGCAUAUCAAUAAGCGGAGGAAAAGAAACCAACAGGGAUUGCCUCAGUAACGGCGAGUGAAGCGGCAACAGCUCAAAUUUGAAAUCUGGCUCCUCUAGGGGCCCGAGUUGUAAUUUGUAGAGGAUGCUUCGGGCAAGGCUGCGGUCUAAUUCGCUUGGAACAGCGGGUCGCAGAGGGUGAGAAUCCCGUCUAGGACCGCCUGCCGCGUCCAUGUGAAGCUCCUUCGACGAGUCGAGUUGUUUGGGAAUGCAGCUCUAAAUGGGUGGUAAAUUUCAUCUAAAGCUAAAUAUUGGCCAGAGACCGAUAGCGCACAAGUAGAGUGAUCGAAAGAUGAAAAGCACUUUGAAAAGAGAGUUAAACAGUAUGUGAAAUUGUUGAAAGGGAAGCGCUUGCAAUCAGACUUGAGGGGGGCGGUUCCCCCGGUCUCCUGACCGGGUCAUUUCCGCCAUCUCCAGGCCAGCAUCGGUUUGGGUGGUCGGUUAAAGGUCCCGGGAAUGUAUCUACCUUCGGGUCGACUUAUAGCCCGGGGCGCAAUGCGGCCCACCCGGACCGAGGUACGCGCUUCGGCUCGGAUGCUGGCGUAAUGGUUGCAAGCGGCCCGUCUUGAAACACGGACCAAGGAGUCUAACAUCUAUGCGAGUGUUUGGGUGUCAAACCCCUACGCGUAAUGAAAGUGAACGGUGGUAAGAACCCCGCCAGGGGCGCAUUAUCGACCGAUCCUGAUGUCUUCGGAUGGAUUUGAGUAAGAGCAUAGCUGUUGGGACCCGAAAGGUAAAUAUCCCCCCGUCUGGUUUUGUUGAGAAAAUGCUAACGUCGUGUCUACAGAUGGUGAACUAUGCCUAGAUAGGGUGAAGCCAGAGGAAACUCUGGUGGAGGCUCGCAGCGGUUCUGACGUGCAAAUCGAUCGUCAAAUCUGGGUAUAGGGGCGAAAGACCAAUCGAACCAUCUGGUAGCUGGUUCCU
rnacentral:rRNA from 1 species